rnacentral:rRNA from 1 species
UACGUAGGGGGCGAGCGUUAUCCGGAUUUACUGGGCGUAAAGCGCGUUAAGGCGGUCGGCAAAGUUGGUUGUGAAAUCUCAGGGCUCAACCCUGAAAUUGCGACCAAUACUGGUCGACUAGAGUGUGAGAGAGGAAGGUGGAAUUCCCGGUGUAGUAGUGAAAUGCGUAGAUAUCGGGAGGAACACCAGUGGCGAAGGCGGCCUUCUGGCUCAUAACUGACGCUGUAGCGCGAAAGCGUGGGGAGCGAACCGG